UGGGGAAUAUUGCACAAUGGGCGCAAGCCUGAUGCAGCCAUGCCGCGUGUGUGAAGAAGGCCUUCGGGUUGUAAAGCACUUUCAGCAGGGAGGAAGGCGGUACGGUUAAUAACCGUGCUGAUUGACGUUACCUGCAGAAGAAGCACCGGCUAACUCCGUGCCAGCAGCCGCGGUAAUACGGAGGGUGCAAGCGUUAAUCGGAAUUACUGGGCGUAAAGCGCACGCAGGCGGUCUGUCAAGUCGGAUGUGAAAUCCCCGGGCUCAACCUGGGAACUGCAUUCGAAACUGGCAGGCUAGAGUCUCGUAGAGGGAGGUAGAAUUCCAGGUGUAGCGGUGAAAUGCGUAGAGAUCUGGAGGAAUACCGGUGGCGAAGGCGGCCUCCUGGACGAAGACUGACGCUCAGGUGCGAAAGCGUGGGGAGCAAACA
rnacentral:rRNA from 1 species